rnacentral:rRNA from 1 species
CUACGGGCUGCUCCAGUGGGGAAUAUUGGACAAUGGGGGAAACCCUGAUCCAGCAAUGCCGCAUGUGUGAAGAAGGCCUGCGGGUUGUAAAGCACUUUCGGUUGGGAGGACUGCUUCUAGCACUAAUAUUGUUGGAAGUUGACGUUACCUUCAGAAGAAGCACCGGCUAACUCCGUGCCAGCAGCCGCGGUAAUACGGAGGGUGCAAGCGUUAAUCGGAAUUACUGGGCGUAAAGCGCGCGUAGGCGGCUAGAUCAGUCGGGUGUGAAAGCCCCGGGCUUAACCUGGGAACUGCAUCCGAUACUGUCUAGCUUGAGUACAGGGGAGGAGAGUGGAAUUCCACAUGUAGCGGUGAAAUGCGUAGAUAUGUGGAGGAACACCAAUGGCGAAGGCAGCUCUCUGGCCUGAUACUGACGCUGAGAUGCGAAAGCGUGGGGAGCAAACAGGAUUAGAUACCCGGGUAGUC